UACGUAGGGCGCAAGCGUUGUCCGGAAUUAUUGGGCGUAAAGAGCUCGUAGGCGGUCUGUCGCGUCGGAUGUGAAAGCCCGGGGCUUUAACCCCGGGUCUGCAUUCGAUACGGGCAGACUAGAGUGUGGUAGGGGAGAUCGAAUUCCUGGUGUAGCGGUGAAAUGCGCAGAUAUCAGGAGGAACACCGGUGGCGAAGGCGGAUCUCUGGGCCAUUACUGACGCUGAGGAGCGAAAGCGUGGGGAGCGAACAGG
rnacentral:rRNA from 1 species